rnacentral:rRNA from 1 species
CCCAGACUCCUACGGGAGGCAGCAGUGGGGAAUAUUGCACAAUGGGGGAAACCCUGAUGCAGCGACGCCGCGUGAAGGAAGAAGUAUUUCGGUAUGUAAACUUCUAUCAGCAGGGAAGAAAAUGACGGUACCUGACUAAGAAGCCCCGGCUAACUACGUGCCAGCAGCCGCGGUAAUACGUAGGGGGCAAGCGUUAUCCGGAUUUACUGGGUGUAAAGGGAGCGUAGGCGGUUUAGCAAGUCAGAAGUGAGAGCCCGGGGCUCAACUCCGGGACUGCUUUUGAAACUGUCAAACUAGAGUACGGGAGAGGUAAGAGGAAUUCCUAGUGUAGCGGUGAAAUGCGUAGAUAUUAGGAGGAACACCAGUGGCGAAGGCGUCUUACUGGACCGAAACUGACGUUGAGGCUCGAAAGCGUGGGGAGCAAACAGGAUUAGAUACCCUUGUA